UGAUACAGGCGAUUGAGCAGCCAUUGCGAACCAACAUGAUCACUCGGCAGAUCUAUGAACAUUCCGUCUUCAUCCACCCCUUCGGCUGCAUCUUCAUCCAGCUCUUCUUCAUCAUCAACAGCAUCUGAUGUACUACAUGUUUGGGUUCCUGUUCCUGGUGUUCAUCAUUUUCCUCAUCACCUGCUCCAAGGCCACCAUCCUGCUGUGCUACUUCCACUUGUGUGCAGAGGUGGGUGGAGCCAUGCAUACAUGGAUCUGGCAUCACAAUAAUGGACUCACUGGUGGUGGCAUUCCUUCCUGACCAGGCUAUUCAUGGCAGUCAACCAGUUUGUUUACGACUUGCACUACUUCUCCAAGCUGCAGAUCAUCACCACUACCAUCCUCUACUUCACCAUGAUCAUGGUGCUGAUUUUCUUCCUCUUCACAAGGGAGUCAACAACAGUGCCACACUACGCAAGGCUAGACUCUAACAGGUUUAAGUAGAGGUGCUCAGACACAUUUCAUCUUAACGAACAGUGCUGGAGCUUUUGGCAGACUUUGGCAGAUUCAUCGAAUGUUUCCAGCCACUCAUCUCAAUAGGAUUUUUUUCCGCCUUUAAGAAAUGGAAAUGUGUGGUGCUGUAAUAGCGAGCCGAGACAGUUGAAAAUAUUGAUGGGAUAUUUUAGUUGUCUGUGUGCUCCUGAAGUGCUGUGGUAUCUCAUUGUUAAAAUCAUCCUAGAGUGGAGAUGAAACACCUGUUGUGUUUAAUGGGCUGAUGUUGGUAAUACUAAUACAGAAAUAACCAUUGUAAAUGUAUUUUCUCCUCUUUACUGCAUUUUGCCUUUUUAUGCCAUUAUGUUUACCACUUCAAUGCCCUUAAAUCUGUAGUUUAAAGCAUGGUUCGAUAUUGACAUUUAGCGAGCUAAUCAAGAUAGAAUCUGAGAGAUCUCACCUUUUACCUAUCUCUGUAGCAGUUAGCUCUCAUUUCGUCUGGGCACUGCAUCAGCCAGAUGAAGUAACUACACAUUUAAUCUUCUUCCCCAUCCCCUCUUGUCUUGAUUCUACAGGGAGCAAGCCUGUUCUCCUCAAAACAUUAUUAGCAAGCUAGCUAACAUUAGCCAACUUGAGCAGAGAUCUCAGCUUGCUAACUAGCAAAGCCAACCAACUACACAUCAAAUAUACAGAGCAAAUAAUUAUUUUAUAAACUAAUUUUAAUUUUUUCGAAUUACAGACCGGGUGGGGCCCAUUGAUCAUCAGUUAUCAUAUUAAAAACUGCAAACAUUUGUCUCCAAGUUGCAGACCCACGAGCCACUGUGGCCCCUCAUGAUGAGUUCUGUUUUUUUGUGGCCCCCACCCCCAUCAAAGUUGCCUAUCUCUGUUUGACAUGCUUGUACACUUAAGGCACUAUUUUACCUUCAUAUCAUUCUUUCAAGGAACCAGUUCUCUGGCAAAAAAACGAAAUUGAUCUGAAACACUGCUUAAAGGCCUACCUAACAAAGAUUAAAGAUGUUGAUACUAAUUACAUAGCUAUUAAACAAUAAUCGAGACAGUACAAAGCCUGCAGUACGUAGCUUGCUCACACUUAAUAUUUAAUUUGUAGAGUAAUACGUGUUGAGUUUUAGCACUUUCUCAAACACUCUGGAAAAAAUGAAAUAACAUAUCAAAUGGAUGGACUGAGGCAUUCAGACUGCGUCUAGAUGGAGCCACAAGGGGUCAGUAGUUGUACAUUUAUGAGCUCGCAGACAAUGCCAUUGCUGGUACCCCAUCAGCUGUUUUCAUUCAGUCUUGUGUGUGGCAUAUAUUAUACUUUGUGCAUAUUUAUAGCUUUUUGCUGUAGAUUGAUAUUGUAAACAGUUUGUGGAAGGACUGUAACAUUAAGUUGCUCUUAAAUCUAUGUAUUUUUAUGUUGUAGUUACAUAAACAGAUAUAGUGUCAUUUGCCUACACAUUGUGUAGGAGUAAUCUAGAUUUAUGUGUUCUUGUCCUCUUUAUUUUACAUGCUGUGAGUGCCACUAUCUGUAAAUUUGACAUUUUCUCUCAAAUUAAUUGUCCACUCAAUAACACCUAGAAGACACAAAAGUGAGACACGCUUUGUUGGAAUCCUGAGAAUGUGGCAUGCACCAAUCCAAUAGAAACACGUUUUGCUAAAUGAAUUUCACUGAUCCCAUAGUAUAGACCAAAGGUCCCUACCCAACCCUGUAUCUCACCUUGAUUCAAGCCUGUCCAUUAGCUCAAUUACAUAUCAUAUCUGUGAAGAUAAGAUUUGUCACGUCCUGACCAGUAAAGAGGUUAUUUGUUAUUGUAGUUUGGUCAGGACGUGGCAGGGGGUGUUUGUUUAAUGUG